AUUGAACGCUGGCGGCAGGCCUAACACAUGCAAGUCGAGCGGAUGAAGGGAGCUUGCUCCUGGAUUCAGCGGCGGACGGGUGAGUAAUGCCUAGGAAUCUGCCUGGUAGUGGGGGAUAACGUCCGGAAACGGGCGCUAGUACCGCAUACGUCCUGAGGGAGAAAGUGGGGGAUCUUCGGACCUCACGCUAUCAGAUGAGCCUAGGUCGGAUUAGCUAGUUGGUGGGGUAAAGGCCUACCAAGGCGACGAUCCGUAACUGGUCUGAGAGGAUGAUCAGUCACACUGGAACUGAGACACGGUCCAGACUACUACGGGAGGCAGCAGUGGGGAAUAUUGGACAAUGGGCGAAAGCCUGAUACAGCCAUGCCGCGUGUGUGAAGAAGGUCUUCGGAUUGUAAAGCACUUUAAGUUGGGAGGAAGGGCAGUAAGUUAAUACCUUGCUGUUUUGACGUUACCAACAGAAUAAGCACCGGCUAACUUCGUG
rnacentral:rRNA from 1 species